GCAGCAGUACAGGGAAGACUAUCACAUGUGAGCUGGAAGGCUGCCAACAUGGAGACACGGAGAGAGCAAGAGCCUAAGCUAUUUUGGGAUUUCCCUGUACUACACUGAAAGUGACACCUGUUACACAUAUAGACGUGAGCAAGAUCAAUCACAAGCUCCCAACUUCUCAAAUAAAACGCUGCAAAAAAAAAAUGCAAGUCACCGAGGCUGUUUGUCUGGGCAGAAGAGUUAGCUUGGGGGAAGGAGAAUGGCCUUUCCAAGCCAAACAGAAAGCAGAGCAGAAAACAUGCAGUGCCUGAUGCAAAGGAAAGCAGAGCAUCCAGAUCUUUAUACCAACCAAAAGAGACUACACUGAAACACGGGUGCCUGUAUAGACAGCAGCAGCAAGGACUGAACCCACAACCUUUACCCUCAAAGCAACAGGCCCUAGCUAGCUGAACCAAGCCGGUUACAAGUCAAAACUGUGGCAUAAUAGGCCACAGGGUCUCACCAGCCGUUGACUUUUUCGUAACUCUACAUUUCACGCACCAGCUCUCACGGUCGUCAGAUAGUACCUCCGCCACGUGAAAGCAGCACUGCGGGUGAUGCAAGAACCUCAAGGAGCCUCCAUCACAGACGGAGAGAAAUCCUUCAUCUGCCUAUCAGCUAGCAUGUCGCCCUAGGGCUACUGUAGAUGACUGCACCGGAUUUCCAUCUUGGCUAGUAAAGCCUUGCCUAGUGUUACAGUUUCAAUACUAUCAGCCCCACCUUCCUCUAGAGUACAGGAGACUGCAGUUGUUAAAAAUUAGGGCAUGUCCAUGUUUAACUAAAAGCCCUAGAUCAAAUAACCAAAGGCCUGUGGAGUGCCAGACAAGCUCCUGCUGGAGAAUAAAUGGGGAGGUGGAGUUGUUAAAUCUGCAUAACCUCUUGACCUCACUCUCCACAUAAAUGACGCUGCAACAUGUCAUCUUGGGAAACAGAUGGUUGUAAAGGGAACCAGACAAAGAUCAAGAGCAUGGUCAAAAAAACAACGCAACUUAUAUAAGCGCUUAGUACUGACUCCAUCUGCCUACAGCCAACCUUUCCGACAGCACGCUGUAAAACAUGGCCCUGUAGUCUGCAGAGUGCUUUGCAAACAUUAAUACUAUUUAGAAAUGUGUCAUUUUAAAGGCACUGCCUGACUGUAUCAGAACAGGGGGCCAUCUAGUCCAUCCUCCUACUUUUGGCUACAGCCGUGUUUAAGGGAGAUGCAAGAGUUGAGCUAGGCAGCAAAGUGGUUUUCCAUCCCAUGAAGCUUUUUAGAUUUAAAAAAUUGUUUCCCAGCCCAAAGCAUCAAAAUUACAGUAAAAAAAAAAAAAAAUCACAACAAUUUUAAUCAACUAGCUAAAACAAUCUAAAUUCGGGGCAAUUAAAAUGCUAUUACAAGAAUUUUGAAAUGCUUCAUUUUAGUGUUUAUGUUUUUUUUAUAACAUUUGUAAAUAUAAAGUUACAGUUUUUAAAAAUAAAAAUCGUUUUG